rnacentral:rRNA from 1 species
UGGGGAAUAUUGGACAAUGGGCGCAAGCCUGACGCAGCGACGCCGCGUGGGGGAUGAAGGCCUUCGGGUUGUAAACCUCUUUCACCACCGACGAAGCUAACGUGACGGUAGGUGGGGAAGAAGCGCCGGCUAACUACGUGCCAGCAGCCGCGGUAAUACGUAGGGCGCAAGCGUUGUCCGGAAUUAUUGGGCGUAAAGAGCUCGUAGGCGGUCUGUUGCGUCUGCCGUGAAAACCCGAGGCUUAACCUCGGGCCUGCGGUGGAUACGGGCAGACUAGAGGUAGGUAGGGGAGAAUGGAAUUCCCGGUGUAGCGGUGAAAUGCGCAGAUAUCGGGAGGAACACCGGUGGCGAAGGCGGUUCUCUGGGCCUUACCUGACGCUGAGGAGCGAAAGCAUGGGGAGCGAACAGGAUUAGAUACCCGGGUAGUCC